rnacentral:lncRNA from 1 species
GCUCUCACCUACCGGUCCUCUUACCCGCUCCUGCCCAGCCGACACAGGUCAGCCCCCAGAAUUAGCUCACAGACAGACCCUCCAGGAGCAUCAAUCACGGGGCUGAAUGGGAAGCCCAUGUAUGGGAACCGCGGGAGGAGUGGAGCAAAGAGCCCGCUGCGGCCCCUCUGACCCUGUCACCACAUAUCUGUCCCUGCGAUGCUUCCUCGGGUCCCCCAGCUCGGCUCCGGCUGCGGGUGCCCGGCCUCCUCUUUGCUUGACAGAACAGGUUAUUCUGGUUGCCGCACAAAUUCAGAGUCGUGGUUGUUGGGGGGGGGGGGGGGGGCGCUUGCUGAGUUUCUGCUUCUGUGUUGUAACGUGAUCUUCCUACCUUGGUCCUGGGUUGGGGUUUUCUUUUCUCAUUAGAGAUUAUGUGCUUUCACAAGGCUUCUGUGUCUCACAACAAACGGUACAAGGGGGAUCGGGGUACUGGUCCCGAGUUUCGUUCUUCCAUCUGUAAUACAAGGGUGACGGUUCAGAAUUAUGAGCUAACAAUGAACGAGUGAGGAUAAGACACCCUGAAAAUACAAAAUAAUGUAAACACACAAUGCUUGUCUGCUCUUUACCAGUAAUCUUUUCUAAGGCCGACCUGAUCUCCUGUUCUCUCCUGACCUGAAGGUUUGGGGGCCUUAUUCAUGCACCUGCCCCAGGCUGCCCCCCCCCGCCCCCAAGCUGGUGCCUCCUCCUUGAUGCCUCGGAAAGAGGCAGGCCUGGGACACGGUCGGUUCUGAUGCUUGUAUACUGCACGCCCAUACUGGUGCCUGGCGUCCUCGCUCCCGCCUGUUACCUGGGACCGGCCUCAACAGCAGCUCCCCCCUGCCCUGCAAGGCACAAGGCCAAAGGAGGAGCUAGAGUCCUGCUUGGGGCAAGGACUGCUGUCAGGGGCUCUGGGCCGCUGCUCUGGGGGCACUUCCAGAUCCUACAGCACGGAGAGGUUUUCCCGGGGGGAAGGGUGGGCACUUUGUGACAGGAGAAAACCCACUGCCAGAGCCUAGUGAAGUCUAAAGCAGAAUCAGGUCUAUGCUGUCCCCUGGUGGUCGUGUUUCAUACUACAGUCGGCUCCUUGAGUCCCUGUAAAAUCACAAAGUAUUGAACUCUUUUUUUUUUUUUGGAUGAUAAAUUCUUAAAAUUCAUGGCAAAAUAUACACAACAUGAAAUUUGCCAAUUGAAAGUAUGUCGUUGUGGGACAAUAAGUACAUCCAUGUCGGCAACUUGAUGAUAAAUUUUUGUUAAGACCAAGGUCAUGUUAUACCCUAUGGAUUUUUUUAAAUUGGGGUAUAAUUGAUUAUAAGAUUCUGUUAGUUCCAAGGGUAUACAAUCACUCACAUAUAUUAUAUUAUACAGUGUGGAAGUCUAGAGCUGAGAAGAAUCAGUGAAGACGAAAGCAUAGAUCUGAAUCUUCUCAUGGGAUUGAAGGCAAAGUUCCACUCCAAGAGUCAUUCAGUCUUUAUCCGGUAAUGAGCAUGAACCAGUAGACAUUGCCGGAACAAAAAUUACCAAUUUAGUGGAUUAAAAUCGGCUUUUGCAGUUAAGAAUUAAAAUUGUACCAUUUCACCAAUUUUGACUUUCACCAAGUUUGUUUCAACGUUCCAUCUAAUUCUCACCCUUUUAUAGCAGUUUGGGGGGAAGAGAACAAUCUAUUUUUUUAAUCCCGAUUUCACUGACAUGGAAACCGAGACAGAAGCCGAAACCCUCUGCAGAGUCAUUAGCAGACUGAGGAUUACAGGGCUCUGGGUCCGAAAUCAGAGGUCACGCGGGCCAGGGAUUCUGGGGCAGACCCCCAGAGCUUCAGUUGUGCAUUAGCGGUUUCACCCCCCAUUUUUCCUCAUCCCUGACACAGCGCACUAAGAGCGCUUCUAGUCAGCUGUGUAUGCUAUGUGAGGCAUUUCAAAUAUGUUUCUGGGAGUUGUCAGUGCUGUUCUCCAUGAGGCCUGAAGGCAAAAUUCAACGUUUGUAGUAAAUAAAGUACUAAAAUUAUAUCAGCUAUUAAGAGGAUGGAUUAUUUCCAAGUUGCUUAGCCAUAUUGGCUGAGUGUUGAGCUCAACCUUGGUGCCAACAUAUUACGCACAUGUUCCUGGGCACCGAGAAUGACACUGAACAUGGAGGUACGGAGUUGGCUGGGCAGGAUAUCAAGGUAGGGGCAGCAGGGUUCAAGAAGGAGUUGAUGGAGAUGUAAGAGCAGGUUCUGGAAACUCUGCGAGGCUGGAACCUCCACCUGACUAGCUCCCAAAAGCUGAGGCAGAUGAGACAGGCAGCGUGAGAGGCUGGAUUCGUAGUGUUUUGCAAACAGUGGGCCCCAAGGCAUAUGUGUUACUAGAAUCGAAGGCACCUAUGGAUUUUCUCAUCCUCUCCCUCUAAGUCUCUAUUAUGAGCUGAAUUAUGUCCUCCAAAAGUUAUAUGUUGAAGCCCUAAACCCCAGUACCUGAAAAUAUGAGUGUAUCUGGAGAUAGGGACUUUAAAGAGCUUUCUGAGUUAAAAUGAGGUCAGUAGGACGGGCCGUAAUCCAGUAUAACUGGUGUCCUUAUGAGAAGACAAAAUUAGGACACAGACACACACAAAGGAGAGACGUGAAGACACAGUGAGAAGACGGUCAUCUGCAAGCCAAGGAAAGAGACUUCAGAAGAAACCAACCUUGCCGACUGCCACCUUGAACUCGGACUUCUAGCUUCCAUAACUGUGAGGAAACAGAGUUCUGUUUAAGCCACCCAGACUGUGGUGUUUUGUCACAGCAGCCCUAGCAGAAGACACAGUCUCCUUGUGAGUUUAAAGAACAUGACAGGGUUGCCUGGGUGGCUCAGAUUAAGAUUCUGUCUCCCUCUCUCUCUCUCUCUCUCCCUCUGCCCCUCUACCCCACUCAUGCUCUCUCUCUCUAAAAUUAAAAAAAAAAAAAAAGAAAGAACAUGACUGGAUGGCCCACCUAGUAUCAACACCAACCAAAUGAAAACCGUCAAAGGCCAUUCUGGUAGGAGCUAAAAAAAAAAAUCUAAAACCAAAAAAUACAAACCUAGGAAGAUGGUUUGUGAAAUAACAUCUGGUUUGAAUGACGCCCAGUGUCUUUUACUAGACAAGAUGCAUUAGCACAAUUUCUGGAGAAAAGCCCAAAUACGUGCCCCAAAUAUGUACACCACGAUAUGAUGGAAUAUAAAUCUUUUUUCCCCCUGGCUCUACGGUGUCCUAUGGAAGGAAUCCAAAUAGUAUGAAAAAUGUCCUCGAGUUAAGGUGCAUCAUACCAGCCAAGUUUAUGGAACCAAGUUACAAAGUUACAAGUGUUACAAGAAAAAUACAUUCAUGUAAUGUUACGGCUAAUUUUUCUUUAGCUCUCCUAUCUGGGGUUCAAUUUACAGAUUACAUUAUUUGAUGAAACUACACAAGAUUUAAUCAGAAGAGGGACCUCAGCACUGAGGACUUGGCAACCAGCUAAGGCAGAUAGUCUGUAGGGCAUCAUCGAUGGUGGGGAUGUUGGUGACACUGAAGACCAGCUUACCUUUACUGAGCAUUUCCUGGGGCACAGGCACUAAAUAGGCGCUUGGCAUAUUUCAUGUCAGUUUCACAGGGACCCUGAUGGAUAACACAGGGUACAAGGUAGCAGCUUAGUUUUGGCUACUACAACUACUCAGUUGUGUGAACUUGAGCAAAUGACAUUACUCUGUGUAACUGUCUUCUCGUUUGUAAAAGGUUGUUUACACACAUAAAAGUGCUUGACGUAGUGCCUGGUACAUAUAGAAGUUUUUUUUAAAACCAAAUCUUUAUUUUUUUUAAUUAAAAAAAUUUUUUUAAUGUUUAUUUAUUUUUGAGAGAAAGAGAGAGGAGGGAGAGGGAAAGAGUGAGCAGGGGAGGGGCAGAGAGAGAGGGAGACUGAGGAUCUAAAGGGGGCACUACACUGCCAGCAGAGAGCCCUGUGUGGGCUCAAACUCACGAACCAUGAGACCAUGACGAGAGCAGAAGUCAGAAUCUUUUUUUUUUUUUUAACGUUUAUUUACUUUUGAGACAGAGAGAGACAGAGCAUGAACAGGGGAGGGGCAGAGACAGAGGGAGACACAGAAUCCGAAACAGGCUCCAGGUUCCGAGCUGUCAGCACAGAGCCCGACGCGGGGCUCGAACUCACAGACCGUGAGAUCAUGACCUGAGCCGAAGUUGGACACUUAACUGACUGUGCCCCCAAAAGUUUUAAUAAAUGUAGGCUGCUAGUAUUUUUUCUUAACAUCCUCACAUGGGGAAACAAAGGACAGUAGAGAUGUUAAGCAAUUUGCCCGAUAACUCGGUGCCAUUCUGAAGCAGGAUCCAGGCGGGCACAUCGGAUCCCCCAUUACUCAGGCUCUCCAGUGCCUCCUGUUGGUCAUACUGUCCUUUGCAGGUUCUCGUGACCUUCUUCCUGCUGAGACCUGACAGAAUGAUUUUAAUAUGGGUGACACAUGUUCCCUUACCCCUAAGUACUUCAGUGUGUGAUACCUAAAAACAGGGACAGUCUCUUUCAGAACCACAGGAAAAUGAUCAAAAUCAGGAAAUUAACACCGAUAUACUAAUAUCUAAUUUCUAGAAUUUAUUCAAAUUUUGCCAACCGUUCUGCUGACACAUAGGAAAGCAAAAAGGAAAUAAUCCUUUUCUGGUUCAGGAUCUGAAUCCAGGGUCCCACAAGGCAUUUAAUUAUUGUGCUUCUUUUGUCUUUCUUUAUCUGGAACAAUUCCUCAGCCUUUGUGUGUGUGUGUGUGUGUGUGUGUGUGUGUGUGUGUGUGUGUGACUUUCACGACCUUUAUGCAUAUAGAGUACAGGUACGGGGGGGGACUGCCCCUCAUUUUGAAAUCAGAUUUUUUGUUUUUAAUGUGCACUUUCUGGAAGCAUAAGUUUAUCCAAAGGGAUGAAAAAAUGGCAGGAAUAUAUGAACUAUCAUAACAGAACUGAAGGGGUCGUUUUGAGGUGAGAUGGGUCUUCUGAUAACACGUACGUUGAACUGUGUUUGUGGAUAUCACGGUUGAUCCUGCAUGAAAGUUGUUCAGUGUUAGUCUGGUAAGUAAGUCAGUUGUUUCAUAUAUAUGAAUAUGGGUUUGAUUUACACAGUCUCUAAUACUCUGUCCAGUUCUGGAUUCUUCUAGCGUGAUGGAAUUCUGAUAUGUUGUUAUGAUGCCAUCUCCAUGCUUCAAGUGUUCCCGAACUGGCUUCCCCCCCCAGUAAGGAACAUCCUGGUUAACGUCACUUAUCUCCAACCAUCCCAUUCUCUCCUUCCCCUAGCCUUUGCAACGUUUGGUCCGCUUUUCUUUUUUUGUGUACUCAGAUGCCUUAUUUUAACUAUGUUUCUGCCACGUGAUUGCUCUUGGGAUGUAGGACAUGCCUCACGUACUAUGACUGUGUGCAACACGUCUCCUCCACUGAGGACACUACCAGCUCCCGGGGGGCACCAAGUCACUGCCCACGCCUCUUGUUGUGUAUUCUUCUUGUGAAAUAAUUGCUAUGUGCACACGCCUGGCAGGAACUGAAUGCCUGCUGAGUGGCAGUGUCACCAAGGAGUUGGCCUCAACGCCGUAAUUCCCUGCGUGAAGUUCUCGGGCUCGCUUUCUAGACGUAAUUUCCAAGGGCUUUCUUUGCUUUGGGGGGCAAAAGAGAGAGGGGAGGCAACAGGUCCGCUGGGAGGGUAGACUUUGGUGGGGACUCUGGGAGAAUAAUGAUGAGAUUUUGCCAACAAUUACAUAGCGAAGGUAUAGAGUUUCUACUUGCCUUUGAAACGGCAGAGACUUGCCACCUCCUUCACAGAUCAGAAGGAUGGGAGUCUAGAUAAAACGGCAGCUUUGAGUUGCAGACAACCACUUGUGUGUGAUAGUUUUAGAAUGAGCGGAAAUAGAACGGUUUGCACUUUACAGACACCUUUCAAGCACCCACCCGUCCACGCGUCCACCCGUUAUUUCCUUAUUCAGCGUAUCCCAGCUUCCGUUCUCGGCCCUGAGAAUGCAGAGGUGGAAAGAGGAAAGGCUUGGUCCGUUCAGUGGGGCAGGGUAACUACAAUGGGGUGCGGCGGACUUAAAACCACACAAAUAAUUUCAGAGGUGAAGCUGUAACGUAACGAAUGCGGAGACCGUGUCCCCCUUCGAGGCCAGCGACCUCCCGGGAAGGCGUGCCUCCUUUGGCAAGGGUGCUGUGCAGGGCCCGGGCAGGCACACAGAGUCACCUGUGUGUGGAAGGCCUCCGUGGGCUGUGGGAAUGGCGCUCUUGGAUUUCCUGACUUUUGUUCAUUGAUGGUCUCACGCACAGAGUCGCAUUAACCCAGUUUCCUAGACUCAAUGAAACCAUUGGCAGCUUUCUGAUUUGUUUUUCAGCCUGAGCCGACGCUGGCAAAGAAGCCAGAAUUCCCAAGCUUUCCCAGGCGAGUGUGGAGAAACACCAGGACGCCUUUUUCUCCCCGCACCCCCCGCCCCGUCCCAUCUGCAGCCAAGUGUGCCUCGGUCAAAGGCAAACUCUGAAUCAAGCUUUGUGCUGGUCUCUGGAAGGAUACCCGGGAUCGUGUGACGGAGAAAAGUGACAGCGGCGGUGGUGGCAGUGACAUCUGUGGGGCUAGCCCCGUCCCUAUCUGCCGCGGGAUGCGUGUGGGCAUGCUUUGUGAGAAGAAUCCACCCCGGGUAGAAUGGGGCUUUUGACAUCAGCUGAGGCCUGGGCUGCCUCACAAUGAGGCCUGUUGGUCAAAGGGAGACUGUUUAAUGAAGUGCCCGCCAGAGGCCAGCUCCGGCCAUCUGUACUGGGGACCUUCGGAGCGAGCCUUCCCUGUAACCGGCUACAUGUGCGAAAGCACGUUGCCUUUCACAGAAGGCAGCUGCGACGAUAAAUUCAUAUUCCCAAACGGUGACCUUUUGACUGCUUUUUGUGUGUGCGUGAUGAAAAGCUUCAUACCAGCUUGAUACUAAGGCUUCAUAAGCAAGGAAGCCGGAAAAAGGAGCCUUUUUUGGCCCUGAGGUCAAUAAUGAUAACGGCUUUCUCCUUACACGAGGUAGCAACGCCCUGCCAAGGAUGCGAAAACACCGCGUGAAAAUGAAAUUCGUGAAAGCCCUUAAUGAUCAAGUGAGGGGGGCAGGUGAUGGCAACCGCCACCCCACGGCUGGUGAAACGCCGAGGUUCGGGGAGAAGGAUGACUCAUGACCAAGGUCAAAGAGCAGCUGGGCGGUGGGGCUCGCGUCACAUCAUGUCCUCCAGCCUCUGGCACUGAGGAAAUCACGUAAAACUUUGCGAUGACUUUUCCUGGCAGGCUCGUUCUUCCCAGCCGGAGCGCAGGUGGCAAUGUUGCGAUUCCUGGCGUAACCUUCAAUGCUUCACUGAUAAUCUCUGUCGUCGCCAGGCACCAGCAGACUGUCACAGCGCAACUCCCAGGCUUCAGCGAUGCCCGCCGAGGUCUUCAUUGCAGCCUCUCAUUUAUUAGCUGUGUUGGAAAGAACUCUCUAAUACCUAGCUGGGUACCUCUGGAUUUUAACAGCUGUGGUUUAUAAGAGAUUUAGGGGGGGGGGUUGUUUUCAAAGUGCCUUUCAGAAAGUAUCACCUUAGACGGGAGUUUCCGUUCUGUUCCGGUAGGAUGACUUGCUCUUGUGCUCAGAAAACCAAGCCUGCAAGAAAAAUCAGAUAUUUUCUUACAAGACUUCUUAGCAGGCGGGCCUCUAUAUGACUUUCCCUUCUCCUCCCCUUUAUUGGCCAUAACCUUAACGGAAGGCUUUUGAUGUCAAAUGCCGAGUAUCUUGGAAGAGGUCCUGCGUAGACAAGACUGCUUGGCCAGGGGCUGGAGAGUCACAGUUGGACUGGACUUGAAGGCCCCUUCUAAUCUGAGAUGUUGUGACUCCGGAACUAAUUAGCCUCAACUUCUGCAAUGAAAUGACACUAACUGCCAUUUAUUGAGCACUUUCUGUGUCAGCUCUGUGCUGAGAUCUUAACAUCAUUCUCUGAAUUCUGACAAAACCCCGCCAAUAUCAUCCACCUUUUACGAACGAAGAAACAGGGGUUUAGAGAAGUUAAAAGCUUGUCUGGUGGCACAGAUGUAAGGUUUGGUGAGCGACUGUCCCCUGGAAAUCGAUUCCAGGUGAGUCUACAUCCAUACUCGAAACCCACAACUCAACCAGAAUGAAAGGGAGACACCAGGGAUUGCCCUGUUCACGGAUCAGUUCACGAUCUCUCGGGGCGGCUAGUGUGUAUUCGUUAGUCAGAUUCAGUGUUGCAGUUAGGGAGCAA